UUUUGCUACAUUCCACACUGCAGGAGGUCAGCCCGGAAUAAGCUUCCCAGAAUUGAAAUUAAGAUCCUUCACUCUGGAGUUCCCGUCGUGCGUGGCUCAGUGGUUAACGAACCCCGACUAGCAUCCAUGAGGACGUGGGUUCGAUCCCUGGCCUCACUCAGUGGGUUAAGGAUCUCGCGUUGCCGUGAGCUGUGGUGGAGGUCACAGACACAGCUCAGAUCUGGCAUUGCUGUGGCUGUGGUGUAGGCUGCAGCUGUAGCUCUGAUUAGACCCCUAGCCUGGGAACCCCAUAUGUCGUGGGUGCAGGCCUAAAAAAACAAAAGCCAAAAUAAUGAAAAUAAUAAUUACACCAAGGCAGCUGGUACUAACUGGAACAUGUUCUACUUAGAUGCAAAAAAAUUAAAAGAUUCAAUUCCUGAUUUCAGGGAACUUUCUGGCCACAUGAUGAGUCAAAGCCCCCAAACCCACAUACUUGAGUCAAUUAAAGAAUCAAGUAAAGGUAAAUUAUUAAGAAGGAAAGCAAAGCACAUUUUGUGUUUCCCCCUAGAGAUUGUAUUCUCUUUAAGAGAAAAUAAGUCUUUUUUGUCCUUGUAUUAUUCAUGGCCCCAGAAGUGUUUUGGCUUAAAUAGGGUGUCAGUGAAGAUGUGACGAAUAAAUGAACGAGAGAAUGAAUAAUACAAACUCUCCUGGAGGGAAUGUCUAAAAAAGAGGGGAAAAAGUCCCCUGGCUUGGAUUUAUGAAUUUGAGGCAAGUAUAGAUCUUUUCUAAAAAUGUAUUUUUUUGCUCAGUCAUAACAACAAUAAUGAUCAUUUAAAAGGGAAAAAGGAGUUCCCGUUGUGGCUCAGCAGGUUAAGAACCUGACAUAGGGUCUGUGAGGACAGGAGUUUGCUCCCUGGCCUUGAUCAGGGGGUUAAGGAUCCAUCGUUGCCACAAACUGGCAUAGGUUGCAAAUGAGGCUCAGAUCUGAUUCCUGGCCCAGUAACUCCACACGCGGUGCGAGGCGGCCAAGAAAAAUAAAUUAAUUAAAAUAAAUUACAAAGUAAAAAGAACAAAGCAAAUAACCUACAGUCUGUGGACUCUUAAGCUGGAUUUUUGCAAAUGGGAAAGGCGGACAAAAGCUGGAGGAAUGACUGCAAGGAGGGAAGAUGCCUGAGAGGGAGUCUGGCAUCACAGCCCAUGUCUGUAUCCUACAAGAGGUGAACAAAUUUGAAGACUCAAAAGAUGUGGUUCCUACCCCCAAGGGGUUUCCAGUCUUUGGGGGAAAAAAUAAAAACAGUUUUUAAUAACCUUUAACUGGUUGUAUGCCCUUGGGCAAGUCCGUUCCCUCCCUGGUGUCCUUCAGCCUUCUGGCUCAAAAUUUCUCUGAUCUUUCAAUCCUACAAUCCUGGAAGCUUCCUGGAAUUGGUGGGCUAGGAGCUAGGCCUUGAAGGAAGGAGCAAGAUUUGGAGAAAAGAGCCAGUCCUGAGGUGGGCUGGAGUCUUCCAGCUGAGAUAAAAUGGGACAGGGUGCCUUGGCCUUCUUGAAGGAGAACUUUAAAAGCCAGGCUGGUUGACUUUUAAAUUUGACCUGAUAAGCAGGUCCUUGGGCUGGAGAUGAAAGGAGUGUCUCUGAGAGAUUAAUCUGAUGGCUCUGGGCCACUGAUCCUGGAUCUAUCUGGAAGUGGGGUGAAGACUUGGAGGUUCUCAGAGUGGCUUUUGCAAGAGUAAUGUGGGCCCAGCCUUUCAGAGAGGGUUUGAAGCGCCUUCUGUCAAUCAUAUGAUACACGUGGCUUCGGUAGAGUUUCAUUUUCCUUAACCACAAGUAGUUUAAACCUUUUUUUUUUUUUAUUAUUAUUAUUUUUAUUUUUAUCUUUUUGUGUUUUAGGGCCGCACAGGCCACAUAUGGAGGUUCCCAGGCUAGGGGUUGAAUUGGAGCUGUAACUGCCGGCCUACACCAGAGCCACAGCAACUUGGGAUUCAAGCCUCGUCUGUGACCUAUACCACAGCUCACAGCAAUGCCGGAUCCUUAACCCACUGAGCGAGGCCAGGGAUUGAACCUGCAUCCUUAUGGAUGCCAGUCGGGUUCAUUAACCGUUUAGCCACAACGGGAACUCCUAAACCAUUAUUUUUAUUCUCAUCUAAAAAAAUUUUUUUUAUUAAAAAAAAAAAAAUUGGCCCUGCCUAUAUCAUGGGGAAAUUCCCCAUGCCAGAGACUGAACCUGCACCACAGCUGUAACCGGAGCCACAGCAGUGACGAUGCUGGAUACUUAACCUGCUGAGCCAUGAGGGAAAUCCAAAAGCAUUAUUCUUAUAUUACAGUCAUUAUGGACCAGAUGCCAAAUAGAUAUAUGUUUCUAAGACACGAUAUUAGACUUCAGAUUCAUUUCAGGUUUGCAGAAGUCAAUUUUAGGUUAUGCAGCCAGAUUCCUCAGAGAGGUGAAUUCU
rnacentral:lncRNA from 1 species